rnacentral:sRNA from 1 species
UUUGUUUGUAACUGAGUUAACUUGCGUUUUCAUCAACUAUUUUUUAAAGCCAGUAGUAGUAGUUUGAAUUUCAUACACAGAGAAACUAAGGCUUAAAUAGAUUCCUUUAUUGUGAUAUAACUUGUAAUAAAACCAAGAUAUGAACCUAGUCUGAGCAUUCAGAUAUCCAGCUUGUCUUUCUCUUUCUUAGCUAUACCAACAAACCCAUACAGUUUGCCUCCAAAAUGAAUGAAAUGUUGUCUCUUCCCUCCAGUGUUGUACAUAGUCUAGUUAGUAAGAAAACUAAGCCUCCAGAAAAGGCUAUUACUUCAUCAUUACAAACAGUAAAUAAUUUAAUUUUAGAAUUUACUUUUACUUUGAAUAUUUAUUUGAUGGUGGAAACAAAGUUCCUAUAAAAAUGGAGUUGAACUAAGCAGUUUAAACACACUCAUAUUUGAAACAUUUGUUACUUAAUCACUAGGUGACUGUCUUGAGAGUAAUUACUGAUUCUAAAACUAUUUUUCUUAAUCAUUAAUUUAUCAAUUCUAGGAUGAAGAAGCUGCUCUGGCAGAUGGUGAAGAUGUUCCCUAUGAGAACAGUGUUAGGCAGUUUUUGGGUGAAUAUAAAUCAUGGCAAGACAACAUUCAAACAGUUCUAUUUACAUUAGUCCAGGCUAUGGGUCAGGUUCGAAGUCAAGAACACGUUGAAAUGCUCCAGGAAAUCACUCCCACCUUGAAAGAACUGAAAACACAAAGUCAGAGUAUCUAUAAUAAUUUAGUGAGUUUUGCAUCACCCUUAGUCACCGAUGCAACAAAUGAAUGUUCAAGUCCAACGUCAUCUGCUACUUAUCAGCCAUCCUUCGCUGCAGCAGUCCGGAGUAACACUGGCCAGAAGACUCAGCCUGAUGUCAUGUCACAGAAUGCUAGAAAGCUGAUCCAGAAAAAUCUUGCUACAUCAGCUGAUACUCCACCAAGCACCGUUCCAG